GUCUGAGACCUGAUGCCGAGCCGAUUGUGGUGAAGUGGAUGAUCCUAUGCUGUCGAGAAAAGCCUCUAGCGAGUUUCAUGGCGGCCCGUACCCUAAACCGACUCAGGUGGUCAGGUAGAGAAUACCGAGGCGUUCGGGUGAACUAUGGUUAAGGAACUCGGCAAAAUGCCCCCGUAACUUCGGGAGAAGGGGGGCCACGUCCGGUGAUCGGAUUUACUCCGUGAGCUGGGGGUGGCCGCAGAGACCAGCGAGAAGCGACUGUUUACUAAAAACACAGGUCCGUGCGAAGCCGUAAGGCGAUGUAUACGGACUGACGCCUGCCCGGUGCUGGAACGUUAAGGGGACCGGUUAGCUCUGAUUCGUCAGGGCGAAGCUGAGAACUUAAGCGCCAGUAAACGGCGGUGGUAACUAUAACCAUCCUAAGGUAGCGAAAUUCCUUGUCGGGUAAGUUCCGACCUGCACGAAUGGCGUAACGACUUCUCGACUGUCUCAACCAUAGGCCCGGUGAAAUUGCACUACGAGUAAAGAUGCUCGUUUCGCGCAGCAGGACGGAAAGACCCCGGGACCUUUACUACAGUUUGAUAUUGGUGUUCGGUUCGGCUUGUGUAGGAUAGCUGGGAGACUGUGAAGCAGGCACGCCAGUGUUUGUGGAGUCGUCGUUGAAAUACCAGUCUGGUCGUGCUGGAUGUCUAACCUGGGUCCGUGAUCCGGAUCAGGGACAGUGUCUGAUGGGUAGUUUAACUGGGGCGGUUGCCUCCUAAAGAGUAACGGAGGCGCCCAAAGGUUCCCUCAGCCUGGUUGGCAAUCAGGUGUUGAGUGUAAGUGCACAAGGGAGCUUGACUGUGAGACCGACGGGUCGAGCAGGGACGAAAGUCGGGACUAGUGAUCCGGCGGUGGCUUGUGGAAGCGCCGUCGCUCAACGGAUAAAAGGUACCCCGGGGAUAACAGGCUGAUCUUCCCCAAGAGUCCAUAUCGACGGGAUGGUUUGGCACCUCGAUGUCGGCUCGUCGCAUCCUGGGGCUGGAGUCGGUCCCAAGGGUUGGGCUGUUCGCCCAUUAAAGCGGUACGCGAGCUGGGUUUAGAACGUCGUGAGACAGUUCGGUCCCUAUCCGCUGUGCGCGUAGGAGUCUUGAGAAGGGCUGUCCCUAGUACGAGAGGACCGGGACGGACGAACCUCUGGUGUGCCAGUUGUCCUGCCAAGGGCAUGGCUGGUUGGCUACGUUCGGGAGGGAUAACCGCUGAAAGCAUCUAAGCGGGAAGCCUGCUUCGAGAUGAGGACUCCCACCCACUUGAUGGGGUAAGGCUCCCAGUAGACGACUGGGUUGAUAGGCCGGAUCUGGAAGCACGGUAACGUGUGGAGGUGACCGGUACUAAUAGGCCGAGGGCUUGUCCUC
rnacentral:ncRNA from 1 species